UUGUGGAGGAGGACGCCGAAGGUGGGGCUAAUGACUGGGGUGAAGUCGUAACAAGGUAGCCGUACCGGAAGGUGCGGCUGGAUCACCUCCUAACAGGGAGACAACAAAAUGUUUAAUAUUAUUAUUUUGUCACCUUAGGUCGAUCGGUAUCUCACGUUUUUAAUUUAUUAAAAAUUUCAUUUCCUAAGUUUUUCUAGGUCACACCCAUUAUUUUUCCUGGGCCAUUAGCUCAGGUGGUUAGAGCGCACCCCUGAUAAGGGUGAGGUCCCUGGUUCAAGUCCAGGAUGGCCCAUAUCUCUAUGUUGGGGGUAUAGCUCAGUUGGUAGAGCGCCUGCUUUGCAAGCAGGAUGUCAGCGGUUCGAGUCCGCUUACCUCCACUGAUUACCACCUCUUCCAUAACCGGUAGAUAGGAAAUGUUUUGAGUUGUGAUCAAAAUCUGAAAGAAUCUAGCUUCCUAAUGAAAUCAUUAAGAUGCUGGACUCAUUGAAUUAAUUUCAUUGUUUUCAGAGAACCUUGACAACUGCAUAGAUUAUUUUUAAAGACAAUAAGCAUCUUUAAAGAUGCAGAUUUAUUAUUUGUGCGAAUGCAUUAAUAACAAUUCUAUUAAGCUGAUGCUUCAAUUUUUGAAGUUAUUGGUCAAGCUACAAAGGGCUCACGGAGGAUACCUAGGCACAC
rnacentral:misc_RNA from 1 species